CAAAUUUUAAUUAGUGAGUAAUUAUAAUUACAAAAGGCUAAAAAAAAAAAAGAAUUGUAAAGAAAUAACAAAGAGUGGGGCGGCGCCAUAUCCCAAUCCAUUAUGGAAUGGAAACAUUAUUAUAUUUAUAUUGGAGGUUAAAGCCCACGCCUAAUCCAAUUUCUAAAAAGGAAAAGGAAAAAGUAUAGAAAGCAUGUGAGGCCAUUUUUCUUAAUUAUUUUAUAUUGAGAAUGUUAAAGAGUAGUAGAUAUAUAUAUUAAGGGCCUUGCCUUAGCAACAGCCAGUGCUCUGCUAACUAUACGAAUCAGAUCUAAAAAAAAAAAAAAGCAAGUUCGUCCUGUGUAAAAGAAAAAAAAAGGGGAAGCUUAAGGUUUGAUCAAAAAAAUUCUUUGGGGUUUAAGAUUCGAUCGAAGGGAGUCCUAUCAAUUGUUCGAGGUGACAAGUUGGUAUUUCAAAAGUUGUACUAGAAUGCAGGUGACAAUGAGGAUUGUGUUGGCUAGAGGAUCCGAGUGGCAUAUUCCUGGUGAGCCCCGCAAUUAUUCGCGUGGGCUAUAGUUUAUUUAUACGUUAUGUUUUUUUUCUUGAAAACUCUUAGUUUGCUCCAUAGUCAUGUCUUUAGAGUUUCGAAUCUUUCGUUAUUAUGGAUUGUGGAAUAUUGAAUUUUCUCUCAUGUUUUGGAGAUGGAUUUCAUGUUGUCAUUUGAUGGUUUUGGUGACUUGUUGAUCA